rnacentral:rRNA from 1 species
UACGUAGGGUGCAAGCGUUAUCCGGAAUUAUUGGGCGUAAAGAGCUCGUAGGCGGUUUGUCGCGUCGGGAGUGAAAGCCCGCUGCUUAACGGCGGGUUGGCUUCCGGUACGGGCAUCGCUGGAGUGCGGCAGGGGAGACUGGAAUUCCUGGUGUAGCGGUGGAAUGCGCAGAUAUCAGGAGGAACACCGGUGGCGAAGGCGGGUCUCUGGGCCGUUACUGACGCUGAGGAGCGAAAGCGUGGGGAGCGAACAGG